GGCAAGCUAAUGAAGACACCUGGAGCCAAUUAAGAACAUACUAGAAUCAAUUAUGGCAAGCAGACUAAUCAGGACACCUGGUUUAAAAAGGACCUCCCAUCAGUUAACGAGGGGCAUACAAGGAGUAGGGAGUGAGAAGGUGUGUUGCUGGAGGACUAAGGAGUACAAGCAUGAUCAGGCUUCAGGAGGAAGAUCCUGUGCAUUGCACCAGAGACCUGGAGUAUCAAGCAGGCGAGUGAUCUCAUCUUCUGCAGAAGCAUCAUGUAUUGGCCCACUAAAGAGGAAGGACACCAAAGAUCACAAGUCAGACGAGGGAAGAGAAUAAAUGCAGAAUCACAGCCACAACGACUGACACCCUCCUUCUCAUCAGGAAUUUGGGCACCUCCAGAGGGACUAAGUGGUUAGAUGGUACAAAUCUUGUUGUAAGUACUGUUCAGAAGAGCUGUGUCAGAAAAUGGAUUUUCCAUCUCAAACAGUUUGAAAAACAGUGUGCCUCCCAUGGAAACGAAAAGCUAAAACUUUAAAUUUUCAUGAAAUGAAAUGCUGAAAAAAAUUGUUUGGGGACAAUUGUAACAUUUCCAUUUUGACCCUUUUUAGUUAUAUAAAAAAAGCAAAUUUCAAAACACAAAGUCUCUAUGAAACAAAAACACAUUAAACUUUGCAUUCC